rnacentral:rRNA from 1 species
UACGUAGGGGGCUAGCGUUGUCCGGAAUCACUGGGCGUAAAGCGCACGUAGGCGGCUUUUUAAGUCAGGGGUGAAAUCCUGGAGCUCAACUCCAGAACUGCCUUUGAUACUGAAGAUCUUGAGUUCGGGAGAGGUGAGUGGAACUGCGAGUGUAGAGGUGAAAUGCGUAGAUAUCGUAAGGAAGACCAGUGGCGAAGGCGGGUCUCUGGACAGUUCCUGACGCUGAGGCACGAAGGUCAGGGGAGCAAACGGG